AUCACCUGUGGAGUCAUUUCAGCAGACAACAUUAACGCAGACAUGGCUCAUGGAUAUCUGAUACGGAAAACUGCGCAGGUUGGAUCGGGAAAUUCCGAUACGUGAAUUACGCUCAUAAUGGUCCCGAUACCGAUACUGGAUCGGAUCCGCCCCAUCCCUAGUAAAUAUGCAACUGUUUGUGAUCAAGUUGUUAUAUCCAGUCAAGGCUUUACAGUCUGUACAGCAUAGGACACCCUCUGUCCUUAGACAUAAGAUGAUGGAUAAGGAAAGAAAAACCUGAACAGUAAAAAAAUGGAAGAUACCUCAAAAGGACCAAAAGGGGAGGGAUCUCUCUCUCCCACGGAGGACAGACAUGCAAUAGUUUUUCAUGUGUUUGUGUACAGAGCAAUCCAACAGUAUGGACAACCAGGAAAUUGACAAUCAGGAAACAUAUAUGAUGAAUGGAUCCAGGAGAAUGAAGAGCAACUUCCAUGCAUCGCCAAACAGACCCAUGACCUCCUCUCCACCAUGGAGACCUGGAAGAUGACAGACUACACAGACACACAAGGGUAAAACUUAAGCACACCAUUCACACAGUGAGAAGAAAGGGACAGAGACAGAGACAGAGAGAGAGACAGAGGGAGAGAGAGAGAGAGAGACAGAGAGAGAGAAGACACAAAAUCUACAGAGGGUUGGACAGAAAAAGUGUUUUUCAGAAAAUGUACCGUAUUCUCAUCUGCAGGAUAAACACGGACUGUAAGCAGUAGAUUCACUGUAUUCACAUAAUGGUAACAGGUUCUAGGUCAUCAACAAUAGGCAGUAAACUGAAAGUGAAGGCAAACAGAGGAGUUUUUCAGCUUGUUCACACCACCCGUGUCUGCGUGGUGGAACGUCUUGAAUUUGAUUUCAGCUCCCAUGAUAACACCGCCUCACGUACACUCAGCUGCGUCUGCAGUGAAGCUUCACUAGAGAGUCAAGGUCUCGCCUAUUUUUACUGCAAGCCACACGCGUCUCCCAGCAAAAGGAUCUGUUGGUAGACAUAUCCACAUAUUUCACUGCAGUUUAAACUUCCUUUUCAAAGUAAAAGCAUCUUUUAAUCUUUUACUUUAACACGACUUCACUUGUGAAAGAAUUUCCAGAAGUGAGCCUUAUGAAGGGCAGUAUCCGUGAUUCACGAGUCGAAUAGAGAUGAAUACAGAGCAGAUAUUACAUAUUAUAUUUAUCGCUGACCCUGAGCACCCAACUGCUUCUUCUGUCACAUAAUUCUACAAUAUCAGAAAAAGAGGACUAGAUAGUACCUUGUUUACCAUGUAAGGAAGUCAAUGGAUAAGGGAACAUGGAAGGUCGACAAUUUGUUGUGGCCAUCCAUUGUUGAUGAGGCCUAUUUUCAGCAUUCAACUAAUUUGCAAGGAUAAGCAAUUAAGAGAUGUCUUUGUCCCACAUGCUGUGUUUUGUGUUUGCAGGCACUGAAUAGGUUUUCCUCCAGUCCUUGCUCUCCUAAGAUCUGUGACAGCCCGUUGUCUGGCUCGGACUGCUGCUCUCUGAUCCACUGGCUAAACACGUUCACACAUCCAAUGUGCUGUGUUCACAGCUGCUCUGGUGUAGCCACAUAGAAAAUUGGCUCUGAUCAGCGAGGCCUGAAAAGGUUCAGAAGUUGAGAUGUGUCCAAAAACACAGGUCUCCUUGAGGCUGUCUGCCACCAUCCAAGCCAAGCUUUUAUUGAUUUGUGGCAUUAUCUUUCGUGCUUUGCUUGACAUUUGUAGGGCAUGGUCAAGUGUAAAACACAAAAACCAAAACUGACGGAUACGCAUUUGGACACACACAUACACUCACACUGACCAUAUGCCCUUAUCCUCUAUUUUCAUGCUUCUAAGAGGAGUCAACACAGUAGAUAAGGAUGCUGCCCUCACACAACGUCAUGUUAGUUGCUGCAUAAUAGAAAGUCUUAACACAUGUCUACACUUCAAAGACACACCAUACAUGCAUAUACACAAACACAUGUGCACACCCAAAAUAUGCACACUAACCCACCCACUCACACUUUUCAGAAGCCGCUGUGCCAGCCUUGUGUGGGCUGUGCAGCCUAAAGCUGUUUCUGCAUCCUCAGGCUCCUCAGUCCAAACCCCAGCCUCUUCCUCUGAUUUUUUGCAUCCAUCCAAAACGCAGAUAACCCCAAAGCACCCAUUUCAAGGAUACAAAAGUUGGGAGAUUUUUGCAGUAAUGUACAUGUCAGAACUGCAACCUGAAAGCUUUUACUCUUAAAUUUAAGACUUGAAUAAGCAUCCUUCAUUCAAUAUGUGGCCCACUGAGCAUGAGCAGUCGGGGGUUCAGUGUGCCACCUCAACAAUAGUUGCUGACGUUGUACUUGAAGUGAGCUGUUGGGGUCUUUUUAAAGAGGGAGAGAUUGUUUGAGUGUUUGCUCUGGUUUUGGAAAGGAAAGUGUGAGAGCUAGUAUUUAUUUAGGUGUGUGUUUAGCCUUGUAUGCAAUGAUUCCUCUGCAAUGAUUGCCUUCCUUACUGUUUUCUCUGGGAGGUUUGCUGUGUGCCAAGCCAAGGUGAGUAUCAUUUUAUUUGCAAAUAAAUUCUUGCAAGAAUUUGGGCAUAUUCUCAAUGUGAUUUGACCAGUUGUGGACUUGUGACUGAAGGUUACAUCUGUUUAUAUAGUUGAUGGAAUAUGUUGUAGUAAUAAACAUAGUUAAGGCUAGUCAUAUUUAGCAGUGUAGGGGUUACACUACUAUUUAAUUAGAAAGGUAAUUAAUCACUGAAGAUUAAUAAUACACUCGUAAAUGGGGCACCACCUCCGUUGUUUAGCUACUGGAGUAAUCCGGAGGAAAUUAUUCUACAGAUCUAAUCAAAUCAAUUUCAAAUCAAUUUAUUAAAUUUCAAAAUCUAUAUUUAAUCUCAUAUUUCUGAAGUAGUGAUUUCUUUUACACGAUUCAUCGAUUUCCCCGCAUCAAAUCAAAUCAAACCGGCAUCGACAAGGACAUACCGUUAUAUUGUUUAUUAACUAAACUAAUGCAGAGUAAAUAGCAUGAAAUGAUAAGGCAAACAAACAACAACAAGUAACAGAAUAUGUGGACAAUAUAUGAAUUAUUACUAUUAGGUGAUUCAGGAGCGAUGGUGGAUUUUGCGAUGCGGCAGUAAGUUUAAAAUAUUACGAGAGUAAAUUUUAGAACUGAUUUCUCUUAAACUUAAAAGAUGGGAAUCAAAGCUUACAGACAGACAACAGCCCUUUUUUAUGUGUGUGAAUCCGGCCGGAUCAGAAGAGUAAGAGAGAGAGGGAGAGACCGGAGUCUAUCUCUUAUAUCUUUUAUUCUGGAGGCGGAACUGGACGAGAGGAGCUGACCGCACGCGCCACUUCCUUUAGCGAUAUUUUGAUAUUUGUAACUUUAUAAUUUAUUCCUAUCGUGUUUUAAAGUUUCGAGAUCAUAAUUCACCGUUCACAGAACCCACCAUGACUUAAUACAUAGUUCACAUGUUUUAACAUAACAUAACUGAAAGUACUUAAUGUAAAGGAAAAGUGGAACUGAUUAAAAUCAUUAAAUCAUUAAUCAUCAAACAUGUAUAUAAAGCAGCACUGAGGGAUUGUACAUAUUUCGUAUAGUGCUAGCUUAAUCCUUGUUACAAAAAUUAUGUAUCAGGCAUUUACUAUUUGGAAUAAUACACAAUUAUGAAACAAAGUUCGUUUUGAAAGUCCUCUUACAACUAUACCAGAACCUUACCAAAAGGUGGCACUGUGGCUCCAUCAAACAUUCAGACAUUUUACACAUGAUUUUGUAACUUAGUCCAAUCAGAGGACAGAAACAUCAGACAAACAUUACACUUGCGACCUUCUCAUGCUGGAUGGCAAUCUGUUAAUUAGGAGGAGAUGAAAUUUUACCAUAAUACUCCAACAGAACUAAAUCUAUAUCCGUGCAACUGUUGUUACUGCUUCCUAGAUUGGAAUGUCCACUAUCAAAAGAAAACAUCGUAAUUUACACUUUAGAGGAGGGGGUGUCAGAAUGCCAGAUGUGGAUUCCAGAGGAGUUUCUCUCUGGAGGUGGACCUGUCAGACUAAAAGAGAUGUAAACACAUUUCAGGGAUAUCUAACCCUGAUUUACACAGUCUCACCUCCCCUCCUGGGUCAAAAAGGUCAAAGGGAAAGAGGAGGCCUUGAAAACUCUCCUGGUGGAACAUAAUCAAAAUAAUAUGACGUUGUACUUGAAGUGAGCUGUUGGGGUCUUUUUAAAGAGGGAGAGAUUGUUUGAGUGUUUGCUCUGGUUUUGGAAAGGAAAGUGUGAGAGCUAGUAUUUAUUUAGGUGUGUGUUUUGCCUUGUAUGCAAUGAUUCCUCUGCAAUGAUUGCCUUCCUUACUGUUUUCUCUGGGAGGUUUGCUGUGUGCCAAGUCAGAUUCAACAAACUAUUUGAACAAACAUGUCAUAAAUCGUUUCAACCUGAUGAAUACUGUUGUUUCGUGAGGAGGUGAUCUGAUCAUUAACAUAAUGGACGCCCCCACAUUGCUCUUAGGCUACUUAUCUCACCUCAUUUGUGGACAAGUUGCAAUUAACAAGAAUUACUUUUUUUUUAAAUUAUUAAAAACUAGUUUAGCUCUUCAUUUUUAUUUUAGCUGAUUUCUGUAACUGUGACGAGGCCCACUGCUCUGCUGUCUGCUUUACAGAUACUGGGGUUGGCUGGUGGGUGGAGCAAGGAGGUCGUGUGCCUUACCUGCCCAUCUGGGUGAGGCUCCCAGAAAGGUAUAGAAGAUGCCCUUUUGGGAGUCUCACUCUCUGGCUAAAUGGUAAAUGGACCUGUACUUGUAUCGUGCCUUUCUAGUCUUCCGACCACUCAAAGUGCUUUUAUACUACAUGCCACAUUCACCCAGCAAUGGCUAAGCACAUCAAACAGAAACUUACGCAUUCAUACACAUUCACAGGAAUUCGGGGUUCAGUAUCUUGCUCAAGGAUGCUUCAACACAUGGCGGAAGGAGCCGUAUGAUCAAAGUUUAUACGUUGUAGGGUUUGCAUUAGUUAUUCCUCUUUUUGGGAUCUGUUGUAUUGCCAGCCUUUAGGAAUAUCAUUUCAAUAUCUUAAUUGUUCUUCAGUCACAGAUGAAGAUUCAGAAUGAUAUUUCCAAGUAGGUUUUCAAAUACAAGGAAUUUGCCUCUGUAUAUUGGUGCAUAACAAUAAACACAGGACAAGGAAGAGAGGACUGCAAGUCAAGAAGCAUAAAUAGAAAAAUAGAAAAUUAACAAUAAUUUAUGAAAAAAUAAUAUAAAGACAAUAAUAGACAAUCUGCAGAAUAUGGCUGUUAUUUUAAAUAGAAAAUGUACAGUUUGUGCAGGAAUGUGCAAAAGUUUACAGUAUUAAGUAUAAAGAAUAUCUGCAAUGUCCAGAAGAUUAUGAUAUGUACAGUAGUAGGUUUGUAUAACUGGUAGUCUGUUAAUGAACCUUGGCAAUGAAGUCAUAGUUUUCACUGUGUUGUGUAUCACCUAUAUGAAAUAACACAGUUAGAAUGCAGGUACAGUUUUAUAUUUUGAUUUAAUUACUUUUUUGAUUGACAUAUUUGUGUGUGGCCUCCCUUUUUAUUGCCAGCCUUGAACUGUUACAUAAUUCAAUUAAUUCCUAUUAAAGCAUUAUGGAGGACCAAUUGUUAGAAAUGGAAUAUAAUAUUCAUAGGUAUGUUUUCAUUAGUGUAUAAUCACUGUUACCUUAGAAUGAGCUGUUUUCGUCCCCCACCAUUGUGCCCCCAUGUUCAAAGAAGCACCUCCUAUGGUAGAUAAAACAUGUCAAAGCUGCAAGUCGGGAUACCCUCUAGGGGUCCUCAAAGCUUUAGGGGGGAAAAUAAAAAUGUAAUUUAAAUUUCUAAAGUUAAGAUAAUUAUUUUAUAUAUUAUUUAACAUAUUAACUUUAACGACCUGAACACAAGCUAUAUUCACAGAACAUUUACUCUCUGAUAAACAGCCUCAUCCAGCAUUUUAAAAGUAUGCACACUCUAAAAAGUAACUCAGUGGCCCUAUUAUCACCACUUAAUUAAAUGCAUGGUUGCAAGUUAAAAAUUCUAAUAUAUUGAUUUAGAUCGACCUUUUAAGUUGCAAAAAAUGUCUUGAGUUGUGUUGAUAUAAUAAUGUUGGUAAUUACGUCAACUUAAUAUUGUGAGUAAUUUGAACUAACAUUUCUGCAUUAAUUGGUUCAAAACAAAAGUCAAGUUGUAUUAACUUAAUAUAAUUUGCUUGAUAACUUAAUUUUUCUCCACCUUGAGUUCAGCAUUUCAAGUCCCCUCCCCUACCCACCCACCUAUCACAUGCAUGGGCAAAUUCAGACAGUUGAGACUCUGUGUUAGCAAAUACGAUCUACAAAGGACAUUUUUGAGAUAAAUAAAGAAUUCCAGAGAAAAUGGCCAGACUUGACCAUUGCACAACAAAAAUGAUGGAUGUAGUCUCAUCAAGGACAGGAGCUACAGGAGUGACAAUCAGACAUAUAAAAGACAUGCUUCUCCAGCCCAAUACAACUGAAGUACACGGAGGAAGGAAAAGGACCGUUUUCAAGGAGUUCAGAGUAAGUAAAUCAACAUCUUGAAAGAAAAAGGAAAUCUACAUUGUGCAGUGACACAGAAGCGUUUGAGGCAGGCCUCAAUAGACAACUGAUGAAAACUACUGCCAUCGCCCCAGAAUCUGACCAUAUGACAGCAAUCAUCAUGGUCGAGGGAACCAAAAUCCUGGAGAGAAAGGCUAUCACAAGGUGCUGCGCUUUGCUGACGGGAAUCUGAGCUAUUGGAACUUAAAUGUACAUUGAUAGUGACAGUCUGCUGCUGUUUGUUACAGUUUUUUGUAAAAUUUAUCUAAAAGGUCUUUCCUAUAAUGUUUUUUUAAAUAUUGUGUGCUCAAACACUGUUAAACUGCAGUUCAAAAUAAAAACAGUUAAUUGCCAAA